rnacentral:rRNA from 1 species
GAUGAACGCUGGCGGCGUGCCUAAUACAUGCAAGUCGAGCGAAUGGAUUGAGAGCUUGCUCUUAUGAAGUUAGCGGCGGACGGGUGAGUAACACGUGGGUAACCUGCCCAUAAGACUGGAAUAACUCCGGGAAACCGGGGCUAAUACCGGAUAACAUUUUGAACCGCAUGGUUCGAAAUUGAAAGGCGGCUUCGGCUGUCACUUAUGGAUGGACCCGCGUCGCAUUAGCUAGUUGGUGAGGUAACGGCUCAACAAGGCAACGAUGCGUAGCCGACCUGAGAGGGUGAACGGACACACUGGGACAGAGACACGGCCCAGACUCCUACGGGAGGCAGCAGUAGGGAAUCUUCCGCAAUGGACGAAAGUCUGACGGAGCAACGCCGCGUGAGUGAUGAAGGCUUUCGGGUCGUAAAACUCUGUUGUUAGGGAAGAACAAGUGCUAGUUGAAUAAGCUGGCACCUUGACGGUACCUAACCAGAAAGCCACGGCUAACUACGUGCCAGCCGCCGCGGUAA